AUUUAUCUGUUACUGAGCGGCGAACGGGUGAGUAAUGCUUGGAUAAUCUGCCUUUAGGACUAGGAUAACCUCAGGAAACUGAGACUAAUACUGGAUAUGACCACAGUCACCAUGGUGAUAGUGGUAAAAUGUUUUAUCGCCUAAAGAUGAGUCCAAGUCGCAUCAGGUUGUUGGUAAGGUAAAAGCUUACCAAGCCUAUGACGCGUAGCAGGUCUUAGCGGAUGAUCUGCCACAUGGGGACUGAGAUACGGCCCUGACUCCUACGGGAGGCAGCAGUGAGGAAUAUUGGACAAUGGACGAAAGUCUGAUCCAGCGAUGCCGCGUGAAGGAUGAAGGCCUUCGGGUUGUAAACUUCUGUCAGCAGGGAAGAUAAUGACGGUACCUGCAGAGGAAGCUCCGGCUAACUCCGUGCCAGCAGCCGCGGUAAUACGGAGGGAGCAAACGUUACUCGGAUUUACUGGGCGUAAAGGGUUCGUAGGCGGUUUUUUAAGUUAGAUGUGAAAGCUUGAAGCUUAACUUCGAAAUUGCAUCUAAAACUGGAUUACUUGAUUCUUGGAGAGGUUAAUGGAAUUACCGGUGUAGCGGUGAAAUGCGUAGAUAUCGGUAGGAACACCAGUGGCGAAAGCGAUUAACUGGCCAAGCAAUGACGCUGAGGGAC
rnacentral:rRNA from 1 species